UACGUAGGGUGCAGGCGUUAAUCGGAAUUACUGGGCGUAAAGCGUGCGCAGGCGGUUUGCUAAGACAGGUGUGAAAUCCCCGGGCUUAACCUGGGAACUGCGCUUGUAACUAGCAGGCUAGGAGUGUGGCAGAGGGGGGGUGGAAUUCCAGGUGUAGCAGUGAAAUGCGUAGAUAUCUGGAGGAACACCGAUGGCCGAAGGCAGCCCCCUGGGGCUAACCACUGA
rnacentral:rRNA from 1 species